rfam:Plasmodium berghei, WGS project CAAI01000000 data, contig: PB_PH5168
CUUUUGUAUGAUGAUAUAUAAAUACGAUAAAUUCUCGAGUCCUGAGAAAUCACUGAACUCAAAUAAAUUCUCAGUUGAGCGAGGGUUUAAACUGAAGUAAAGAAAAAUCUGACGAAAGGUUU